GAUACGCCCCAAAGCUCGCUACCUAUUAGCAUCAUUAGUUUAGACUUUAGAGACAGUCGAUAAAUUUACAUAACCUAUGAUCGUAAACGCUAGAAUUAAAUUUACCCAUUUACAUCAAUAAGACAAAAAAAACAGUUUAAAAGUCUUUUGACCACUUUACUUCCAUAUGAAGAUUGAAACUAUCGAUGCUAAGAAAUCCACAUUUUCUAUCUGAUGACUCUAAAGUCUAAACCAGCAUUUACUUAGCUGUAAUGCAAUUUAAUUACUUGUUGGGAUUAAAAGGUACUGAUAAAAAACAUUACAGCCUGAUUAUACAAUAAAAAUAGAAAAUCAAAAUUUGUUAUUCGUUGCCAAUAAGAGAAACAGAAAAUUAGGAAAACGUUUCUAGUUUUGAUCCUAUUGAUUUUUAUCUACUUGUGACUUUCCAUUCUAUAAAUUUCGUAUCAAGACAAUCCUAUCCAUCACUCUCACUCUGCUGUGUCAGAAUAUUCUUCUAGUCAUAAAUUACACAACUGACCAAAAUUCUCAUCCUUACAAAAAUUAAAUAGUAUACAUCUAAUUAAUAGGGUAUCACAGGCGAAAUUGGAAAUAAAUUUCUCUGCUUUGACCUAGAUCAAUUGAUAAAUAGAAUAGUUUAUACAUAUUUGCAUAAAUCUAUGAACAAAGGAAACAUCAAUAGAUGAUUUCAAUGUAAUUGCACAAUCAUCAAAAUGUAUACAACUAGUUCCACUAAACACACUCCAUAACCCAAAACAAAUAAUCACAUACUUGCAAAAAUAAAUAUGAGGCGUAAAUGUCAAAGAAUCAGAGAAAAAAAAUCAAAAUGUAUGACAUCACACAAGCAUGGUAACAUUAACAAGAGAGCCAAAAAAAAACACAGACAUCACAUGAAUAGUACAAAGAAACAAAAUCAACAAGGAACAAAACAGAGUGAUCUGAAGUCUUAACUUACCCCACAUCCAGUAUCAAUGGC